rnacentral:rRNA from 1 species
AACGAACGCUGGCGGCAUGCCUAACACAUGCAAGUCGAACGGAACCUUCGGGCCUAGUGGCGCACUGGGGGGUGACGCGUGGGAACCUGCCUUUAAGUUCGGAAUAACUCAGAGAAAUUUGACCUAAUACCGGAUGAUGUCUUCCGACCAAAGAUUUAUCGCCUUUAGAUGGGCCUGGGAUGGAUUAGCUGGUUGGUGGGGUAAAGGCCUACCAAGGCGUCGUUACAUAGCUGGUCUGAGAGGAUGAUCAGCCACACUGGGACUGAGACACGGCCCAGAAUCCUAGGGGAGGGAGCAGUGGGGAAUACUGGACAAUGGGCGAUAGCAUGAUCCAGCAAUGCCGGGUGAGUGAUGAAGGCCUUAGGGUUGUAAAGCUCUUUUACACGAGAUGAUAAUGACGGUAUCGGGAGAAUAAGCUCCGGCUAACUACGUG